UACGGAGGGUGCAAGCGUUAAUCGGAAUUACUGGGCGUAAAGGGUGCGUAGGUUGUUGAUUAAGUUAUCUGUGAAAUCCCUGGGCUCAACCUGGGCAGGUCAGAUAAUACUGGUUAACUCGAGUAUGGGAGAGGGUAGUGGAAUUUCCGGUGUAGCGGUGAAAUGCGUAGAGAUCGGAAGGAACACCAGUGGCGAAGGCGGCUACCUGGCCUAAUACUGACACUGAGGCACGAAAGCGUGGGGAGCAAACAGG
rnacentral:rRNA from 1 species